GACGAACGCUGGCGGCGUGCUUAACACAUGCAAGUCGAACGGUGGAGCGCCUUCCUUUUUGGUGGGUGUGGAUGAGUGGCGAACUGGUGAGUAACACGUGAGUAACCUGCCCCCUUCUGCUGGAUAACCGCAUGACGGUGUUGCUAAUACGGGAUAUUCUGGGUCUGUCGCAUGAUGGGUCUGGGACGGAUAUUGUUUCGGUGGGGGAUGGGCGCGCGGCCUAUCAGCUUGUUGGUGGGGUGAUGGCCUACCAAGGCGGUGACGGGUAGCCGGCCUGAGAGGGUGGGGGGUCACAGGGGGACUGAGACGCUGCCGAGACCUACAGGAGAGGGAGGAGUGGAGAAUAUCGCACAAGGGGAGCAAGCCUGAUGCAGAGGCCCCGUGUGAGAGAUGGAUGCCCUCGGGGUGAGAACCUCUUUCGCGAGUGAAGCAGGCCUGCAUCGUUUGGGGGUGGGUUGACGGUAGCUGGAUAAGAAGCGCCGGCUAACUACGUU
rnacentral:rRNA from 1 species